AAAGGAAAAAAUUGUACUUGUAAUAAUAAUAAAAAGACAACAAUAUAUGAAGAAUUACAAAAAAUUUCAACAGUCAAAGAAUUAGAAAAAUAUUACACUUUAAUAGAAAUGGAUACAGAAUUAUACAAUUUUAAGAAGAGUAUACAACAAAUAGGAGUAAUAAAAGAUCAAAAAGAUCUAGAAAAAUUAUACAAAUUCCAGACAAGCUAGAGAUAAUCGGAGAAAAACUCCUGCAACAUUGGGACUUCAAUCAAAUUACCUGCAAAUUAGAAAUAAUUAAUCCAGAAUAUACUAUUAAAACAACAUCUAUAGAGGCUACAAAUGAAGACCUUAAAGACUUUGAAAUACAAAUAAAAGAGCUAUUAGAAUUAGGAAUAAUUAAAAGAUCAACAUCAAGACAUAGAUCAGCAACUUUCAUAGUAAGAAACCAUAGUGAAAUGGUAAAAGUAAAAGCAAGAAUGGUAAUAAAUUACAAAAGACUAAAUGAUAAUACCGUAAUGGAUGGGUAUAAGUUACCAGACAAAACAGAAUUAAUAAAUAGAAUACAAGGAAGAAAAGUAUUUAGUAAAUUUGAUUGUAAAUAUGAAUAUUGACAGAUUAAAAUGCAUGAAGAUAGUAUAGAAUAGACAGACAAAUAAUGAUGAUAUAAUAUAUAUUAAUAGUUAGACAGAUAAUAAUAAUAAUAUAAUAGACAGAUAAUAAUAUAAACAGACAGAUAAUAAUAAUAUAAUAUAAUAAUAACAGAUAAUAGAUAAUAAUAACAAUAAGAAUUGACAGGACGGAUAGAUAUAAUAUAGAUAGACAAUAAUAAGACAGAUAUAUAAUAAUGAAUAAAUAAUAAUAAUAGAUAUAUAAUAAUAAUAAUAAAGAGCCAAUAAUAAUAAUAGUAUAGACGGAUAGAUAAUAAUAUUAUAAGACAAAUGUAUAAUAAUAAUAAAGCAUAUAAAAUAUAUAAACAAAGCAAAUAAUUAAUAAGCAGGUUUUAAUAUAUAUUAUAAGUAAAGUAAAUAAGCAAGUUAAGCAAAGUAAUUAAAGCAGGUAAGUAGUUAUGAGAAAAUAAAGCAGAGUUAAUAUGGAUGUAUUUUUUAUAUGGUGUAAAAUCCUACUCAGUACUCCCUCCUUCGUUGUCCUUAGUCCAGUGUAAGUGUCUAAGUCAUAAAGAUCAGAGUAUAUUUUCUCCCCAAAAUAAACUAUCUUUGCAUUUUUAUUUUUUUUUAUACCCUGUUCAUCUCUUUCUCUUUAGUUUUAGAUAUUUUAGUAAUAUCUUCUUUAAUCACAUCCCGGGAUAAUAACAACAGUCCUUUUUUUUAAUCUUCUGUGUACUUUUCAAAUCCCUAGAAAUUUACAGAUUAAUCCAUCGUUAUUGCUAAAACACUGAGAGAAUAACCAUAUACUGGGGGUAUGUUUAUAAGUAGUUUACUAAUUUUAUAAGACCAGAAAAUUGGCGGUAAACCGCCGGCGAUCUAGAUCUUAUAAUAUUAAAGACACAUCUAAUAAUAAUUAAAUAUGUACCAAUAAGUAAUGAAUUUUACAAGAUCGGAAAAUUGACGGUAAACCGUCGGCGAUCCAGAUCGUAUAAUAUUAAAAACACAACUGAAAUAAACUAUGAACUUGAUUAAUUCAAACAUAAUUUACAAACUUUGGAGAAAAACACAAAUAUCUAUGUAACGACUACUUACAUGUCUUCAGAAAGAAGUGAGGUUUCCCUUUCGGGAGUCCCCUGAAAACUUGACAGCUACCGGAAAUGAAGAACUAAGAAACUAAUAUAGACUUUUUACUUUUUUAAAAAAAAAUUGAACUAACUUACAAACUUUGGAAACUAGGAACUUUAUGGAAACUAAGAACUUUCUCACUCUUGAUUUUCUCUCUAGCUACAUAUGUUUAA
rnacentral:lncRNA from 1 species